UUUCUCUCCAACAUUCAUACAAGCACAAACCUAGGCCACCACUACCAAAAAUGUCUUACGCCGUGGUGGCGCCCUGUUUCCCCACUGUGAGGUCGGCGGCGAACUGACCAAGGCAGAGAGCAAACAUGAAGAAGUUGGCUAACAGGACACGAAACGAAACAGGAGCUGCGUUAGAGCAGCAGUGGGGUUCUGUGGAGAGAUGAAGGAGGUUCGGUGGCAGUGCGUAGAACCGCCUACACUCUACCAUUGCUAAUCCUCUCGAUUUCAAACUUCUUGCAUCAGAGGUUCUACAAGUCACCUAACUCAGUCAUGAACAAGGCAAGGACUCAAAUUAGGAACAAGCAGCGAAUUUUGUCCCAGAUCUAUUCUGCCACUUUUGGAAGGCAAAAAUGUUAUUGGAGCUGCAAGGUCAGGUUCUGAAAAGACCCUUGCUUUUCUGAUACCUGCUGUGGAGUUGUUACAUCAAAUCUGAAUGGGGGUAAUUGUCAACUGCCCAACUAGGGAACUUGCCAUACAGACACAUGCAAUGACAAAGGACCUUCUCAAUCAUCAUUCACAGACUCUUGGCAUGGUUAUUGGUGGUGCAGCCCACAGGGGAGAAGCUGAGUGUAUUGUGAAAGGAGUAAACCUGUUAGUAGCAACCCCUGGCGGACUUC